rnacentral:rRNA from 1 species
GACGAACGCUGGCGGCGUGCUUAACACAUGCAAGUCGAACGGACAGGCCCUGCUUUUGUGGGGUGGUCGUUUGGCGAAGGGGUGAGUAACACGCGAGUAAACCGCCCCUGUCUUUCGGGUAAAUUCACGGAACUGGGGCUCAUAUCGGGUAGGAGCUCCUGCUCCGCGGGGGGCGUUGGAGAGUUUCGGCGGUUGGGGAUGGACUCGCGGCGUAUGAGCUUGAUGGUGGGGUAGUGGCUGACCAAGGCUUUGACGGGUAGGCGGCCUGAGAGGGUGACCGGGCACAUUGCGCCUGAGAGAGGGACCAGACUGCUACGGGAGGCAGCAGGGGGGAGUAUGGCGGAAUGGGCGGAAGCGUGUGACAGCAGCGCCGCGUGCGGGAUGACGGCCUUUGGGUUGUAAACCGAUUUCGCCUGUGAUGAGGCGUGAUUGACGGUAAUGGGUAAAGAAGCACCGGCUAACUACGUG